UACGUAGGGUGCAAGCGUUUGUCCGGAAUUAUUGGGCGUAAAGGGCUCGUAGGCGGUCCAUCGCGUCGGGAGUGAAAAGCUGGGGCUUAACCCCAGUCCUGCUUCCGAUACGGGUGGACUAGAGGUAGGUAGGGGAGAACGGAAUUCCAGGUGUAGCGGUGAAAUGCGUAGAUAUCUGGAGGAACACCGGUGGCGAAGGCGGCGUUCUGGACUGCAACUGACACUGAGAGACGAAAGCCAGGGGAGCAAACGGG
rnacentral:rRNA from 1 species